rnacentral:misc_RNA from 1 species
GAUGAAGAACGCAGCGAAAUGCGAUAAGUAGUGUGAAUUGCAGAAUUCAGUGAAUCAUCGAAUCUUUGAACGCACAUUGCGCCCUUUGGUAUUCCUUAGGGCAUGCCUGUUCGAGCGUCAUUUGAAACCUCAAGCUCAGCUUGGUGUUGGGUGUCUGUCCCCGCCUCCGCGGGGACUCGCCUCAAAAUCAUUGGCGGCCGGUACGUUGGCUUCGAGCGCAGCAGAAACGCGAACUCGAGGCCCGGCGGAUCGGCGACCAGAAGUCUCUUCUUCACAGUUUGACCUCGGAUCAGGUAGGGAUACCCGCUGAACUUAAGCAUAUCAAUAAGCGGAGGA